rnacentral:rRNA from 2 species
UACAGAGGUCCCGAGCGUUGUUCGGAUUCAUUGGGCGUAAAGGGUGCGUAGGCGGCGGGGAAAGUCUGAUGUGAAAUCCUGGGGCUCAACCCUGGAACUGCAUUGGAUACUUCCUUGCUAGAGUACUGGAGAGGAAACUGGAAUUUACGGUGUAGCAGUGAAAUGCGUAGAGAUCGUAAGGAAGACCAGUGGCGAAGGCGAGUUUCUGGACAGUUACUGACGCUGAGGCACGAAGGCCAGGGGAGCAAACGGG